UUUCCGUAGGUGAACCUGCGGAAGGAUCACUC
rnacentral:rRNA from 1 species